rnacentral:rRNA from 1 species
UCGUGGUAAAUCACCGGCUCAACUGUUGAAUUCUGCGAGCACGGCCAGACUUGGACCGGGAGAGUGUGGGUACGCUCAGGUAGGGUAAAUCCUGUCAUCCUGAGCGGACCACUGUUGCGAAGGCGCCACACUGAACGGAUCCGACGUCAGGGACGAAGCCUAGGGGCACGAACCGGAUUAGAUACCCGGUAGUCCUAGGUGUAAACGCUGUGGACUUGGUGUUGGGGAUUCUCCGAGGAUUCUCAGUGCCGAAGCGAAGGUGAUAAGUCCACUGCCUGGGGAGUACGGUCGCAAGGCUGAAACUUAAAGGAAUUGGCGGGGGAGCACCGCAACCUGAGGAUUGUGCGGUUUAAUUGGAUUCAACGCCNGAAAACUCACCAGUGCCGACGGACAGAUGAAAGCCAGUGUGGUGAGCUUGCUGGAUUGUUCGAGAGGUAGUGCAUGGCCGCCGUCAGUUCGUACCGUAAGGCGUUCUGUUAAGUCAGAUAACGAACGAGACCCUCAUCCCUAUGUUGCUAAGGUUUCUCCCUUCGGGGCGAGAUCACAGGACUAUAGGGAGACCGCUGGCGAGAAGUCAGAGGAAGGUGAGGGCAACGGUAGGUCAGUAUGCUCCGAAUGCACUGGGCUACACGCGCAAUACAAAGGACGGGACAAUGGGCCGCUGCUCCGAGAGGAAAGAUGGCUAUCCCGAAACCCGUUCGUAGUUCGGAUUGAGGGCUGUAACUCGCCCUCAUGAAGCUGGAUUAGGUAGUAAUCGCGUCUCAAAAAGGCGCGGUGAAUAUGCCCCUGCUCCUUGCACACACCGCCCGUCAACACCAUCUUAGUUGGGGGUGGGUGAG